AGAGCCAAUCCGCCAGAAAACCAUGCAAUAUUCAGAAAAUCGUCCAAAUCGACAAUCACAACUUGACAAAUUUUUAUACAUCAUCUUAAUCCUUGACAUAAAAUAAAAGAAUUUGACCACUUAAUUUUUCCCAGAAUCGUAUCUAUUUUUAGCAACAGCCUCAUUUGCAUAAUUCUGUAAAUUCAUAAUGAAACCAAGGAAAAAUCCAACUUUUUUAUGCCUUUUAAGAAUGACCCAGAAGCAUAUUAAAUGGGGUAGUUGAGUUUUUAGAGUAAUGUCAGCUGAAAUUCAUCCAUUUUACUAUGUUAUGAUCAAUACAAAUGAAAAUUUAAACGAUUUGGCACAUUGCCAGGAGCAGGGACACAAAGGCGGGGUUUUUCAUACAUGAAUUUACGUGGUUUUCAUUCGCUUCUAUCUUGCAAGACCCAUUCCGGAUUUGUUUGCAACUUAUAUCGGUUUUAACUAUGGGGUAUGUUUUAUAUCAAAACAAAAUAUUAAGCUUGGCAAAUGACUAUUAUAUGUUAAUUUAUGCCUUGGAAGAAUGGUGAUUUUAGUCCCAAAUUGACACAUUUUGAUUUUGAUUUUAAUUAAAUUCUAAACACAAUUGGUACUAAAAUGGCUCAUAAAAUCAUUCGAACAAGUAAAAUCAAUUUGCCUGAAAAAUGAAAUAAGACGUAUUUGUACUGCAAGUCCAAAAAUCAAUAAAUUGUCUGAAACCAGGGAGUCCAUCUUUUAUGCUCUUCCAUUGACUUAUCUCCCUUGGGUAAGAUCUCAAACAUGUCAGCUCCCAGUGAUGGUUUGGCAGACAAAUGUUUACAGUGAAGUUUGUGACUUUAAAAUUCUAGGAUGAGCAUGUGGGCUAUCCCAGUCUUAUACAUUUACAUAUUACAAACUAUUUAAGAUAUCUGAAUGCACUAAAGACCAAAAUAGCAUUUCCAAAAAAAAUAAUUAAAAUGUACUGCCAAGAAAUUUGACAAUCAUGACAAUAAUUUAGUGAAUAAACAUGAUAAAUAUUGAUUGGAAAAAUAAUUCCAUGAACAGCAAAAAGUGUUUUUAGAUUUCAACGAGCAAAACAAAAGUAUUCUAAAUCAUUCUUCGUAAAAAAAAAAGGUGAGUGAGUGGAACCACCUUGCUCGCACCAAAAUUGAGAUUGAGAGUGUCAAAACUGCUCUGGCGCACCAUCAAUAAAUCAACGACACUCUCUCUACCGUGGUAUUGAAACCAGCAUUGGUAACCAAACAUAUUCAUACAGAUACAGACUACCAUUCAUCUACAUUUAGGAAGUCUGAAUAAUACUGAAAACUAUGGUGUAGAAUUUCCAACAGGACUCCUUAUUUUAUAUAAGACAAGGAGUGGUUUAUUUUCCCAUGGUUGUUACAUCAUCUUGUCUUUGAAUAUGCUUGAAGUACAGGGACUUUUAGGGAAUUCAUUGACAUGAUAGUCAAGCAAGAUGUCAACAUCUCGUCCAACCCUCUUCCAGCAAAGCCAAAGCUGACCAAGGAUCUUCACCCUUUCAAAACAGGCUGUAUACAGGACGAGUUAUUCCAGUAGGAACAGGGCUAUAUAUAUGCAAGCAAUGCUCAAUUAAGAUGAAUUUUUGUAAAAGUGACAAUAGCCAGGUCAAACUAAAUACAUGUAUAGAAGAAGAUAUUGAUCUAGACUCGCAUCUAACCUUUCUGUCAGUGUCAACAACAACUGAACUUUCACAGCAGUCAACAUCAGAUUGGGAGACUGAUAAUGCUUCUAACAGAAACAAUUUCAACCAACCAAACAAGCAACAGAAACUUUCCAACUUUAAAACAUCAGUUAAAUCUUCCAUGGGAUGAUGUCUCAAAAAAUAACAGUUCAUCAUUUAUGGAGAUUUUAAUGUUAUGGUUUUUCUUUUACAAGAAAGUUAAUGUACACUUGUUUUAUAGUAAAACCUAUAGCCGUUCAAGUAUAAAAAAACACAUUCAACUUUAUUGAAAUUUGAAGAUUCAUAUGACUUAUUUUAAUUCUGUUAUCUCCGAGGAUGUGAUGUAGAGCAUUAUAGGUACAGUAAUCUUAACAGCUAUCCAAUUUCAUUUAAAAUUCUUUAUAAAUUUUGCACUAGUAUAUAUAGACUAAGUAAUUUGUUUUUCGUCUAGUUAUGGGAUUUUUUUUUAGAAGCAUUUAUGAUUUUCAUGUUUGUAUUGACCACAUUGCAGCAACAUAGAUAUAGGUACCUGGCAAAUCUUGCCUUGUUAGCAUACUAGGCUCAAAGGGGCAUACAAAAAUUUCCAUCAACAAGUGUCUGUUAAAAUCAUCUGUUUACAGUUUUCACUUUUAAACCAUCAUCUUAAUAACUUUAGAAGAAGUGUCAUACAUAUACAUAUGUAUACAAAAUUUAAAAACUUUUCAAUAUAUAUAUAUAUAUAUAUAUAUAUAUAUAUUGAUAAAAACUAUCAACAUGACAAGAUCUAAAUACCCAACAUUUUUCUGAAAAAUUGGACAUAACAUCUAUGAGCUAUUGUCCCUGAAAUGUGUAAAUUUACAAAUUUUCACAGUUUUCUGCUACUAUCCGACAACUAUAUCAAUAUAUUAUAAGAAUAAAUUGCAAAAGUGGUCAGAAGAAACUUUUUUUUUACAGUCUGAACUUAUUCUGAAUUGUUUAACUUCUAAUUUAAAUUGAUUGCGUUUGAAAUAUGUGUUUUUUAUCGUUUUAGGUGCACAAUUUGUCAAUACGAUCUAUUUCGGCUCCUGGGAGCCUCUAGAUUUAUAAUGAAUAAUUUGUAUUUAUGUAUGAUUAUUUUCUUAAUGUAUUAAAUGAAACAUUAAUUAUUCUU